GUUGUAACAUCACUAAUUAGUAAUACUAAUUAGUACGUCACUAAUAUAAUAACUUCCGCUAUGAUCUGUCAUCUGUCUUUUUCCAUAUCUUUGGUAUGGGUCGACUAUGUAACUGUGGUACAGUGAAUGUGUGUUGUGAAAUAAAACUCAAGUAACCCAAGAUCAAGGACUUUCAUUUAUAUUACAUGGUGUCAGAAGUCAAGAAGAACUCAAGUCAAAAAAAAGUCGAAGUCUGGAAGAUAGUCGGUCGCGAAAAUGGACCAGUCGAGUUCCGAGCCAUGCGGCGUGGGCGACCAUAAUGGCGUCCAAGGCCUUAACAGCAAAAUAAAAUCACUGCAAAUUUCGUCAGAUUCCACAAAUAAUAAUGCGGAGGCGUGGAAACGCUGGUGGCAGCAGUUGGAGCUGUAUCUGUUGGCCACGGGUUUGGAUAAGGCACCCGAAAAGCGUAAGAUAGCUAUCUUGUUGCAUCUCAUAGGUGAAAAGGGCUUAAAUAUAUUCAAUACUUUCAACCUCACCAUUGAGAAGACCACGCUUGCCGAAGUCAAGUCCAAAUUUCAAAAUUUUUUUGAGCCCAGAAGGAACAUAACCAUGUGCCGUCACAUGUUCUUCACCAGAAAGCAACAGAAAUCCGAGUCGAUCGAAGGAUUCCUAGCAGAUUUGGAGAACAAAAGCCAAGAUUGUGAAUUUGGAACACUCAGGGAAUCGCUCAUCAGGGAUAUUUUCAUUGCAAAUCUGCAUAUGGAUUUAGCGCAUGUACGUCAGAGACUACUCCAGGAACCUGAUCUGACAUAUCAGAAGAUGCGAGAACUGGCAACAACACUGAUCGUCGCACAGCAGGAUGCUGAAAAAAUUGUCAGUAGUUCCAACGUUGAAAAGUCAGAAAAUGUCAUGCAUCUACGUCGGAGGAGCCGUAGUCGAGGGGAUCGUCGACAGCGAGCUUCACCAGUCGGUCAGCAGGGUUCUGGCGCAGGGAAGUCUCCCAACCCUGAAAGGCGCUCGAGGACGUGUAGCCGCUGUGGGCAAUCUCACCGCUACAAGUGCCCAGCGCAAGGAGUCAAAUGCAGGUCAUGUAAAUCAUUUGGUCAUUUUGCUAAAUAUUGCUUCAAAAAUAAAAAUAUCAGUCAUUUAGAGUCGUUUAAUUCAAGUCAUAGUCAUAAUAAUAAUCAAGAUUAUUUUGUUGGAAUGUUGAAUAGUCAGAGCUCCAGUCAAAGUCAUAAGUCUAAUUGUCAUUUAAAGUCAUAUAACAGUCACUAUAAACAUGUCAAGUCAGCAAGCACACAGUCUCCACCACCACAAUUUACACACAUACAUAGUCAGUCACAGUCAGGGAAUGAUUCCGGUGAUGACAUUGGUGUCAUUCCUGAGAGAUCUCACCGAGACUCAUAUUGUCAGUCUGAGAAAUUAAUUCUCAAGUCAUAUUUCAAUGAUGAUAAUGGUGAUAAUGUCAUGUCUGAGAGGUCUGAAAAGUACCUCGGUGAUGAAAGCAGUCACCAGUCUGAGAAAUUAAUUCUCAAGUCAUAUUUCAAAGAUGAUAAGGGUGAUAAUGUCAUGUCUGAGAGGUCUGAAAAGUACCUCGGUGAUGAAAGCAGUCACCAGUCAGAGAAAUCAAUUCUCAAGUCAUAUUGUCAUAAUUCAAAUAAAAGUUGUGAUAGUCAAAGUGUGUAUCUCAAUGAUGAGUACAGACACAUGUCUGAGGAAUCACCUCACACAAUCACAACAGUCACAUCACCAUAUCACAGUCAACAAGUCACAUCAUCAUUUAGUCAAGUCAAUAUAGUCGAGUCAAAACAUAAACAUAACAUUAACAAUAGUAAACAGUCUUGGAACAUAAAUGUUAAAGUAGGUCAUUCACAAUUUAAUUGUAUCAUUGAUUCAGGAGCUGAUCUUAACAUAAUGUCAAAACAAACUUUUAAUUCUUUAAAACGUCAACAAAGUCAAAUGUCACUUGUCAAAUGUCACAUAAAUGUCACAGGAUUUUGUGGCAAGUCAAUACCCAUUAUGGGAAAAGUCAAUAUUAAAUGCAAUUUAAUAUUAAAUAAUAACACUGUCAGUGAAAAUAUAGUGUUCAUAGUCGCAAAUUUAGUAUGUCCCAAUGUCCUAGGUCUUCCUACUUGUGAAAGGGUCUUGGCUGUCUACCUCCUGUCUGUCACCUGAAACUCAAACCUGAUGCAGUACCAUGCGUGGAUCCUCCCAGGAGAGUACCAUUUGCGAUGCUUGGAAAGCUACGCGAGGAGUUGGAUCGCAUGGAGAGCAUGCAAGUCAUUGAAAAAGUCACUAAGCCUACAGAAUGGGUGAAUAGCAUAGUAAUUACGGUCAAAAGUUCAGAUUAUUACUCUAAAUACAUAGAGAUAGCUUUGUUAAAUAAAAAUAGUACAGCCAAAAAUGUAAUUACACAUUUAAAGUCUAUUUUUGCCCGUCAUGGUAUACCUUUGUCAUUAGUGUCUGACGGUGGACCUCCUUUCCAAUCUUUAGAAUUCAAGAAUUUUUUACAUGAAUGGGACAUAGAACAUAUUAUUACUAGCCCAUAUCAUGCACAGUCAAAUGGUCAAGCAGAAAGUUCAGUCAAAAUUGUAAAAAAUAUGUUGAAAAAAUGUAAAGAAAAUUCGUCUGAUCCUUAUAUAGCCUUAUUACAAUAUAGAAAUACACCUAAAAAUAAUUUACCAUCCCCAGCACAACUGUUAAUGUCUAGGAAUUUAAGAGAUAAUGUUCCAAAGUCAUAUAAAAAAUUAAAACCAAAGGUUGUAAAAUUUAAAGAUUACAAAGAAUGUGUAAACAAGAAUAAUGUCAAUAAGUCAAAAUAUUAUAAUAGAAAUUCUAAGCCUUUGUCAUUGUUGUAUCCUAAUGAUCAUGUCUACUUUAAAAGAAAACCAAAUUAUAAUUGGGAACAUGCCAUUGUCAAGCAAAGGCUGGCAAAUAAUAGGUCAUAUGUCAUUGAGGAUGUCAAUGGAGUUAGGUAUAGGAGAAAUAGAAUUCACUUAAGGCAUAAGUACUCUCCUAUGCUAUCCAACUCGUCGUCGUCGUCGUCGUCAUCGUCGCAGGGGAGAGAGGAUGGUGACAGUCAGAAGGCUGGACCUCAAGAACUCUCAUCUCAAUCCUCAAGUAGUCAAAUUGUCACACGUUCAGGUCGAUUUGUAAAGCCUUCUCGUAGGCUAAUAGAAGAAAUAGAUUAAGUAUAUAAUUGUAAUCUAAAUUAAGUCAUAAUUAAGUAAAAACCUUUGUCUAUCAUAACUAUGUAUAAUAAAGUCAAUUUUUGUCAAGUCAGUCCAUAGUCUUAAGUCUAUUGUUUGUCAAGGGUUAAUUUAAACUUAACAGGGGGGAUGUUGUAACAUCACUAAUUAGUAAUACUAAUUAGUACGUCACUAAUAUAAUAACUUCCGCUAUGAUCUGUCAUCUGUCUUUUUCCAUAUCUUUGGUAUGGGUCGACUAUGUAACUGUGGUACAGUGAAUGUGUGUUGUGAAAUAAAACUCAAGUAACCCAAGA
rnacentral:misc_RNA from 1 species